rnacentral:rRNA from 1 species
AGAGUUUGAUCAUGGCUCAGGACGAACGCUGGCGGCGUGCCUAACACAUGCAAGUCGAACGGGGUCCAACCAGUAGCAAUACUGGGGAAGACCUAGUGGCGAACGGGUGAGUAACACGUGAGGAACCUGCCCCGAAGACCGGGACAAGCCGGGGAAACCUGGUCUAAUACCGGAUAUCUUCACCAGACCGCAUGAUCUGGUGAAGAAAUGGAUUCCGCUUCGGGAGGGUCUCGCGGCCUAUCAGCUUGUUGGUGGGGUAAUGGCCCACCAAGGCUUCGACGGGUAGCUGGUCUGAGAGGACGAUCAGCCACACUGGGACUGAGACACGGCCCAGACUCCUACGGGAGGCAGCAGUGGGGAAUCUUGCGCAAUGGGCGAAAGCCUGACGCAGCAACGCCGCGUGGGGGAUGAAGGCUCUCGGGUUGUAAACCCCUUUCAGCAGGGACGAUUGUGACGGUACCUGCAGAAGAAGCCCCGGCCAACUACGUGCCAGCAGCCGCGGUA